rnacentral:rRNA from 1 species
AACGGUGCUAAAGUACCGCUAAUACGUGCUAAGAUCCGUGACUUGCCGCAAGGCGGGAAGCGGUGCACUUGUUGGCUAUGGACCAGUCGCGGCGCGUUCGUUUCAGGGCGUGUCGUUUCGGGUGAAUUACAGCAAUUUUGCGAAUCGCAUGGCGCAAGCCGGCGAUGUUUCGGAUGAGUCUUCGCCCUGUUAGAUGUCGACGGUAGUGUCGUGGACUACCGUGUCUUUGAUGGGUGACGGGGGAUUAGGGUCCGAUUCCGGAGAGGACGCCUGAGAAACGGCGACCAGAGCUAAGGCUCGCAGCAGGCGCGAAAAUUACCCAAUGGGGACACCCUGAGGUAGUGACGAGAAAUAGCAAGGAGAGCGGCUAUGCCGUCCUUUAUCGGAAUGAGACAAAUUUAAACACCUGAACGAGGAGCAAAUCGAGGGCAAGUCUGGUGCCAGCAGCCGCGGUAAUUCCAGCUCGAUGAGUGUAUUUUAUUGUUGUUGCAGUUAAAAAGCCCGUAGUUGGAGUUAAAGGCGCGUCGCCGAGGCCACAGUAGUGGACCGAGGCGCACGUGUCUUUCUAUUACCAGUUCUCACCGGGGCGAUUGAUUUCGUCGCGGGCCGUUCGCGGCGCGAGGUCUGGUUAGUAUACUGUGAACAAAUCCAAGUGUUCCACGCAGGCAUUAUCGCCCGCAGGUUUCAGCACAGCAUAUUGAAACAUGCCAAGGCAGUUUUUACUGGUCUUAACUGCCAGGGAAUGAUAAAGACGAACGAUUGGCGUUGAUUGUACUCUCGUGGGGACUGGUGAAAUGGGGUGAUCCCGAGAAGACAACCGGCUGCGAAGGCGUUCAACGAGCGCGUUUCGAUUAAUCAAGGACGAAAGCGAGGGGAGCGAAGACGAUUAGAGACCGUUGUAGUCCUCGCCAUAAACGAUGCCGACUGGGUCUAGGAUUGAGUUUAUUUGACCUCUUCUGGGCUCGAAGGGCAACCUUUGAGUUUUUGGGUUCUGGGGAGAGUACGGCCGCAAGACUGAAAUUUAAAGAAAUUGACGGAAGGGCACCACCAGGGGUGGAACUUGCGGUUUAAUUUGACCCAACACGGGGAAACUUACGCGGUCCGGACAAAGUUAGGAUGAACAGACUGAAGCUCUUUUCUGAUUCUUUGGGUGGUGGUGCAUGGCCGUUCUUAGUUAGUGGCGUGAGUUGUCUGCUUGAUUGCGAUAACUAGCGAGACCGUUGCUGUUAAAUAGAGAGGCCAAGUCGCUUUGCG